rnacentral:rRNA from 1 species
UACGUAGGGUGCGAGCGUUAAUCGGAAUUACUGGGCGUAAAGCGUGCGCAGGCGGUUUUGUAAGCCAGAUGUGAAAUCCCCGGGCUUAACCUGGGAAUGGCAUUUGGGACUGCAAGGCUGGAGUGCGGCAGAGGAGACUGGAAUUCCCGGUGUAGCGGUGAAAUGCGCAGAUAUCGGGAGGAACACCAGCGGCGAAGGCGGCACUCUGGGCUGGUACUGACGCUCAGGAGCGAAAGCGUGGGUAGCGAACAGG